UAUUGUAAGUGUUGGAGUGGGCUAGUAAUGCAUUCGGGGGUAAUCUUAAUUUCUAAGUAGUAAUAUAUGUGGUAAGGUGGGUGAUGUAAUCUUUCCUCAUUGACAUGUGGUUGUCAUCCACAAUAGCCUAUUAGAACCUGUCUUUCCGGGUAUUUAAGGCUGGAGUUAUGCCACCUGGUGUACGUCACUGCUGGGACCGCACCUAUGGAGUGCGAGUGUAUAGAUGCGCGUGGAAUGGCCAUUUGAUGCGUUGUGUUGGGUUACAGGCUGUCCACUAAAUGUCAGCUGUGAAAUUCUUCGGUGAAGGUGUCUUCCUGCAUGAGCUUCUAUGCUUGUUAUGAGUUGAGAGCAAUGGCACAAUUCGUGCGGCACAACGAUCUGUUUUGUGCACUGAGGUUUUUCUCUGACGCUGCGCUGGUUAGUCGCGGGAGAAGGCGGAAGUGUCUACACUCAGCGUUAAAAGAGCACUGUAGGGCCCGAGGCUGGGAGGCUAGCUGGUAGGGAGUACUGGUGAUGGUACAAUCGUGUGGAGUGCAGUGUUGUUUGGAUUCACGUUUUACUCUGUGUGAGUGUGUGUGCGUGGGAUGCACUAGCGUACAGAUAGGAUCUUCACUUCAGCUAGCCUGCCUUUGCUGCUGGAAAGCCUGUGCCUGUUUAUUGGGUUGUUUUCCUUUGAGUAUGCUUAAAUUGUUUCUUUAUCUGGUGAAGUAUACAGAGUUGCCGAUAUACGAUGUUUAAUUGUGAUCAGACACGUGACAUUGAUGCCCUUGAGUGUUUUUAUAAUUUGUUGUGACAAUUUGAAU